GGAUUUCCCUAUCAGUAAAGGUCUCAGA
rnacentral:sRNA from 1 species